rnacentral:rRNA from 1 species
UACGGGGGGGGCAAGCGUUGUUCGGAAUUACUGGGCGUAAAGGGUUUGUAGGUGGCUUGCUAAGUCAGACGUGAAAUCCCUCAGCUUAACUGGGGAACUGCGUCUGAGACUGGCAGGCUUGAGUGCAGGAGAGGAACGCGGAAUUCCAGGUGUAGCGGUGAAAUGCGUAGAUAUCUGGAGGAACACCGGUGGCGAAGGCAGCCAUCUGGACCGACACUGACGCUGAGGCGCGAAAGCGUGGGGAGCAAACAGG